rnacentral:lncRNA from 1 species
UUCACAUAUUGAUCAUCAAGCUGACGCCUUCAGGGCAUAAAAUAUGACAUUUAUUGUCACACGAUUGUGAUCAAUAUAAGCAUUCGCUCCCCCUGACGAUGACAUAUGUCAAAGUCGUUAUCCCUCAUAACUCAAGCAUAUUCUUCAAGAUAUAUAUCUCAUUGUUCAUCUGGAAUAACGAGAAUGGAUGAGGUUGGGGUGCUAUCAUUUUCUAUCUUACACCACAAUUUAUACAUAGUUAUGCAAAGCAAGUAACAUGUCCUUAUAUAGGACUUAGGGGAUAAUAUAGUUGCAACAGUACAUAUUCUAAAUAUGACACAUCGCUCCAGGCGUUCAUCCAUUGCAACAUCUAUGAUGGUGAAACAAAAGUCCAUCAAAGAUCGUAAUCCAUCAGGGAUUUUUUAUCGAUCAGAUACAUCGUUAUAGUCUAUCAUUCUGGCACAAUGGGGAUAUUUUGCCAGUAACACCUAAACCUUAUAGGUUUCUGCCAUCGGGGCUUUAGAGGAUACCGUAAUUCCACAUCAAGUGGAAAAUACCAUGAGUAAAACUCGUGGAAUGCACAUGUGCUUAUUCGGUGAACUUCAUGUCCUUUGGUACCUCAUCUUAUUCCUUUUCGGGUCUAUAUGGGUCUUUAUCCCUUUAUAGGGAUUAUCAAACUUUGGUGUUCAACACAGACUUUAUUUCUUCUGGAAAGGUUCCAUCAAGGAACUAUAAUCUCAUCUAGGAGAUAUUCUCUCUAUAUAGAAGAGUGUUCAUUCGUCAGGAAUGUAUUAUUCGGUAUGAGAUUUAUAUGUUGCAUAUUUAUAAUUCAAAGAUAUGGAUCCUCCUAGGAUCUCAUGACGGAUCUUCAGAAUCCUAUUAACUGCAUAAUUUAAUUCAUGCCAUUUGCCAGAUAUAUUAUAUAGCGGAACAGUGUUUAUUCAACACAUACGUGGGAUGGGUCUCUCACAAGACCACUUGAACCAUCGCAUUCACCACACAUUAUUUCAAUAGUGCCCAUAAAUGUCCGAACUUCAAGCUCGUGACUUUCAUUUUGCGAUUAUUGGUUCAGCCUCGAUUGCAUUUAUCAAUGACCCGAUAAGAGAGCUUAAAGCACUCAUGCCUAGGACUUUGUUUUGGAUCCCUUUGCAAUCUAUAGAGGCAAGAUAGGUGUCGACACAUUUGUCUCCCACAUUUAAUAAUGAUCUCCGUCAUUUCCCAAAACGAAAGAUUCAUUGUUCCAUAUUCCCAGCACAAUGAUAUUGCGCGCAUUGCUAGGAACUUCAUCAUCAAGAUGAACCUCUUCGUGAGGCAAAUCACCAGCAGGGCGAGUUCAUCGGAGGAGAGUUAUUACAGACCACGUGAAUCUGCAAUCAGAACAUAUGCUUUGACUAAGGCCAAUAGAUCAUAUUCGCAGGCGUCCCCGAGAAUAGAUCAAAUGCCAAUAAGUCAAAUGUGGAUAUGAUAUUAAUCCCGGGUAUAUCCACAUCUACAUCAGGUAGAAGCAUUCAAACCAAUAUGGUUACUCCUCAACGAUUUCUGGCAAACUCCAUAUACACAGGAGUACACUCCGAACGACGGGUUCAGAUUGGCUUUUGUGCGUUUAAUAGAAUAUUGAGGCAUUACACUAUAUGAACAUUCCUCCCCCUAAUACCGAGAUGUUCUAAAAACAUACAGAUAAAAUCCCCAACCACAAUCAUCUAGUUUGUGGCCAAUGUAUGCUAUUGUGGUGAUUGAUUUGGGAAAUCUUACGCACAUUACAGAUAGGGGUUUUAUGCAGUGAGCUUUGGACUUAGAUUAAUGUAGUGGCAUGAAUACUACAUAUUUGUCCUUCAACAUGAAGGGUUAGUCUCAACAUCCAGCGAGACACGCAACAACAAGUUGCUUCAUGGUUACAAUUCUGCAAACUUAUUGUUAUUACUACCAAAUGCAUAGUCAAUCAUUAAGAUUUAGACUAACAUGCACAACACUAUUUUAUCCAUAAGGCUUCUUCAGGGGCUCGUGAAUACCAUUCGUCAUUUGGAGCCAUUAGUUGACUUUAUAUCAACAAGUAAAAUGACCAUCAGGGUCUAACGCUCACAAAGACAUUCACUGGUUGCAUUGUGCUUUGAGGCACAUAGGAAAAUGUGUUUAUAUUGGUAGUAAAGUGCACGACAUCAUGCCAAUGCUGCCAAGCAGAGAUUUUUAUAUGCAGAGAUGUAUAGUCCAACUCGUUUUAUUAUUGCCCAUUGUUUACCCAAUUACUCAUACCGAUCUGAAAUUGGGUAUCAAUUUAUGCAACAUUUUUAGAUAUUAUAAUUUUGAGAGAGAAUAUAUAACAAUAGUUAAUAAAUUGUGAUGCUGCCAGCAGGGCAAACAUUUCUCCUCAUAUUAUAUACCAAUUUGUUCUAUAAAGCAUUAUUUCGAUCUCUUCGUUGUUCGGCAAAAAGAGAAGCUUUAGAAUAGAACAGACAAGGCCAAGAAUUCAUUUUUUUAUCUAGGAAAAAUCACCAUAUAACUAGCUUUUGAUGAAGCAAAUGAUGAUAACUGCUUGGCAAGGACGAAACAAUGCUGGUAUCCGCCUAGGAUCCAUCUUCAACAACAGAUAUUAUUGCUCUCAUACGAAGAAAUCAUCAGGAGUAGAGAGGAUACAACAGGUCUCUACAAGAUCUUCAUAUUUCUAUCACAAAUUAUCAUCACUAGUAGUCAAGUGGUCAAGACAUAUGACUCUUCUGGCUCCGAGGACCAAGGACAUGUUAAUGUCUAAUUUAGCUUCAAGCUCUGUUGUGAUGUGGGAUUUCAUAGUUAUUUGUCUACUCUUCUCACUUCUGGUAGAUCAGAGGUAGAUAAUGGUAAGCAUGCCAAAGUGUGGAAUUCAGUGUAGUUCGGCUACAUAAACCCCAGGUAUGUGUCCAUUCAGGAUCGACAUUUACCAUUUAGCUUACAGUGUAUACCAAACUUGUUAAAGGACUAUCUUGAGUCAAUUCAGUGACUAUAAGUAUUUACAUUUCCGAGAGAUGUAUGCGACACAAGCAUAGAGGUCCUCGAUAGAACGAGUAAAGUGGUUCGACGGGAACACACUAUGGUUUUCACACCAACAUAGUGAAAAUUUUCUUAGAAUAACCUCUCGGUAUACUCGCAACUUCGUGUUGCUAGCGGUUACAUGUCCUUUUAUCUCAUAGUUUGCUUCAUGUCAUCCAGCGACAAAGAGAGCAAUGUGCUAACAUCUGGUUAAGCAAUGUAUGACUAAGAUUUCUGAUCUUAAAUCAUUUGGUAAGGUCUUUUUGCUUACUAAUAAAAUCCCAAUUUGUGAUAUCUUUUAUGCCAAAAAGGCUUUCAUGCAUUAAUAUUGAAUUUCUUCAGGUUACUUCGGGUAAAAUUUUAUGCACGAGGAGAGAGAGCAGAGAUUUAACUUAUCUGUGUUUCAUUGUAUUUCGAUUUAAUUUCCCAGAUUUAAUAUAGGUGUUAUGGCCACGUGGCGAUAUAUAUAAAUAUACGAUACCACAAAACACAAUCAAACAAAAUAUAAAGUGAAAACAAAAUUAUUUACGAAGGUUGCGUAUAAUGUGACUUCAGGGGCUUGAACAACCCACCACAAUCCACACAAGUACAAGCUCUAGUGUCUGGUGUCAACGCGUGUGUGGCCAUCAGGGCUACGACAACACAACCAGCCUUCGUAAUUAAUGCAACAAGCACAAUUAUGGCUCGGUAAUCGGGGUACACGAUAAGUCCAUGUAAUGUGCGCAACAGGCGCAAUUGUGACUCGAUGAUCACGGGGGACAGACAGCGCCUGCAGGGCAUGCGAAAAAUACGCGACUCGGCAAUGGCGGUAUGACUCAACCGGAGCGAUCCGACUAAACAAGAGUGUCACAUAGCAAUCACAUGACGCAGCCAAGUUCGAACGACACAAAUAUUGCGUGUAUUGCCAGAGCGCAGCCAAUGCUAUAGCUCAGCUGAUUAAUAAUGUAGUCUGAUCGACGUGUCCGAGUACCCACUAUAUCAUUAAAUCACUCGAGGUGAGUCCAAAAACUCAACAUAAUAUAAAUAUUUAGAGCGAUUUAAGUAUGCACAAUAUAUACUCCACAUGCAUUUAAUAAUUUUCUACUAUUUACUUCAGGAAAUAAAGCAGGAAAAAUAAAUACCAAUAUUAAUGCAUAAUCUUUACACAUCGGGUGUAAAAAUAUUUUUUUCAUAUUUAAGCAUGCAUUUUUCUACUAAUUAUUUACUCCGAGAAAUAAUUUAUUAAAGUAGAAAUUGUAACAUAAAACAUUAUUUAUUCUACUUGUUAUUUGCAACAAGAAAUAAAUAGAAUAAAAAUAUGAAGCAUGCAUACCAACUAAAAUUAUACAAAAGUUUCAUCCGACAUGUACGGUAGCUUUGAUCGACCCCUUUUUUUAAUAGUUAAAAAUGUGCAUGGGCACAUCUUUUUGUAUAUGAUGGCAUGCGAAAAUCAAUAUUUACAUGCACACAACCGCACGUAUUUCGGGUUUUUUUAUUACUCGCCGCGCACAUGCACAACGCACUCAAGUGGCAGCCACUUUGACCGGGCAUUUUUCUUUUGUUGGAUCCUGCCGCAUGAAUAGGUCUAGCUCAACUGCUCACAAAUUCAUGCGAUUUGUUCUUAUCCAAACAAAAUGGCGAGGAAAUAAAUGGUCUCACAGACUCACGGUCAAGGAACACAGGCCCCAUGUGCAUGCACAAUCGCCUCCUGGGCAACUGUUAGAUAGUGAGAUCCAUUUUUCGCGUAGGAGCUGUUGGCCGCUCGUCUCACACGGUCAAAGGAAGAUCUGAGAAUGACACUGAAAGCAUGGCUAGCAUGCAGGCUGCCACAUGCGCCAGGCCAUCACCGGUCUCUGUUGGUGGGCGUGGUAAGCGUGGAAGAGAACAUAGCCCUCGGGGUACGAGUGCACCAACGCGACGCCUACUGGGCGUAUUCCUUCGGCGUGAGCGCAGGCCCGACGAGGCUCCGACGCUCGGUCCAUACAUUUGAUUUGUCACGUGUUCAUGAUUCACGAGAUCAACACAAGAAGAAUGGAUGAGAAGUUCCAGAUCUUUUACCACUCGAUUAUACGGAGGAAUCGAAGUCUGUCGCGUAGGACAGUUCGGCUAGGCCGGAGGACCUGCCGGCUUGACGGAGAGUUGAUGUAGAUCAGAUCCGCAGCAACGUCGAGGUAGAGCGUGCUGAUAACGUGUUGAGAACUACGUUACCACGGAUCACCAGAUCCGCUCCCUUCCCUCCCGUCAGCAGUAGAGGCGCGAGAAGCUGUAGAAGACCCGUCUCCCUUCCCAUAAGCACAUCAGAGGAAACACACGAGACACUGAAUAUAGGGUUGGGCCUCUGGCCUCUUUCUGAUCUCUAUUCCAUAUGAGGGGUACAUGUUCUAUAUAUAGAGACGCGAUAGCCCUCAGGGCUAUAUUCGGUAUUUGCCCACAUAACCCUUCAUUAGGGUUUCUCAACACCCACCACCGCCUCCCCCUCGCCGCUGCCGUCUU